CGCUGAAGCCUGGUGCUUGCACCGGGUGGAUGAGUGGCGAACGGGUGAGUAACACGUGAGUAACCUGCCCCUGACUUCGGGAUAAGCCCGGGAAACUGGGUCUAAUACCGGAUACGACUGCCGGACGCAUGUCUGGUGGUGGAAAGUUUUUUCGGUUGGGGAUGGGCUCGCGGCCUAUCAUUUUGUUGGUGAGGUAAUGGCUCACCAAGACGACCACUGGUAGCCGGCCUGAGAGGGCGACCGGCCACACUGGGACUGAGACACGGCCCACACUCCUACGGGAGGCAGCAGUGGGGAAUAUUGCACAAUGGGGGAAACCCUGAUGCAGCGACGCAGCGUGCGGGAUGACGGCCUUCGGGUUGUAAACCGCUUUCAGCAGGGAAGAAGCGCAAGUGACGGUACCUGCAGAAGAAGUACCGGCUAACUACGUGCCAGCAGCCGCGGUAAUACGUAGGGUACGAGCGUUGUCCGGAAUUAUUGGGCGUAAAGAGCUCGUAGGUGGUUGGUCACGUCUGCUGUGGAAACGCAACGCUUAACGUUGCGCGUGCAGUGGGUACGGGCUGACUAGAGUGCAGUAGGGGAGUCUGGAAUUCCUGGUG
rnacentral:rRNA from 1 species